rnacentral:rRNA from 1 species
AUCGAACGCUGGCGGCAUGCUUUACACAUGCAAGUCGAACGGCAGCACGGACUUCGGUCUGGUGGCGAGUGGCGAACGGGUGAGUAAUACAUCGGAACGUGCCCAGUUGUGGGGGAUAACUACUCGAAAGAGUAGCUAAUACCGCAUGAGAACUGAGGUUGAAAGCAGGGGAUCGUAAGACCUUGCGCAACUGGAGCGGCCGAUGGCAGAUUAGGUAGUUGGUGGGAUAAAAGCUUACCAAGCCGACGAUCUGUAGCUGGUCUGAGAGGACGACCAGCCAGACUGGGACUGAGACACGGCCCAGACUCCUACGGGAGGCAGCAGUGGGGAAUUUUGGACAAUGGGCGAAAGCCUGAUCCAGCAAUGCCGCGUGCAGGAUGAAGGCCUUCGGGUUGUAAACUGCUUUUGUACGGAACGAAAAGCUUCGGGCUAAUACCCUGGAGUCAUGACGGUACCGUAAGAAUAAGCACCGGCUAACUACGUGCCAGCAGCCGCCGUAAGAC